UGGGGAAUAUUGCACAAUGGGCGCAAGCCUGAUGCAGCCAUGCCGCGUGUAUGAAGAAGGCCUUCGGGUUGUAAAGUACUUUCAGCGGGGAGGAAGGCGAUAAGGUUAAUAACCUUGUCGAUUGACGUUACCCGCAGAAGAAGCACCGGCUAACUCCGUGCCAGCAGCCGCGGUAAUACGGAGGGUGCAAGCGUUAAUCGGAAUUACUGGGCGUAAAGCGCACGCAGGCGGUCUGUCAAGUCGGAUGUGAAAUCCCCGGGCUCAACCUGGGAACUGCAUUCGAAACUGGCAGGCUAGAGUCUUGUAGAGGGGGGUAGAAUUCCAGGUGUAGCGGUUAAAUGCGUA
rnacentral:rRNA from 1 species